CAGUCCGGGACAUUUCUAUUUGGACAUAAAAAAUUUGAAUUUUCUGACAUUUAUACGUGUAUUCAGCGUCUAUGUGAACAAAAAAUUGUUCUCUCUCAUUCUGUGGUCCUUGAGCUUUAAUAACAGGGACAUUUUUUAAAUUGGUAGCAUUAGAAAAUGACAGUAAACAGCUGACUGAUGUAAACAAUAACACAAUAACAAAGGAAAUGUUAUAAUUUUAAUCUAUAUAACCAGUGGCUGCUUUAAAAGUGUGUACUAACGGGAUAAUAACAUAUUUACGCAAGUAUUUUUGAAGGUAGAAACAUUACUUGUCAUAUAACAACUACUCAGAUUAUAUGAUGAGACGGGAAUGGCACAAAACAGAAUUGCAGUCAAUGAUUGUGCUGGAGAAAGCUGCUGUGACGUACUGACAGUACUGACUAUCGCUGGUUGUACGACUUGUGCAAUUUGUGAUAUAUUUUGUGUGAAAAACUGGAAAACAAAGUGCAUAACUGCAUAACCUCACUUAUCGCAGUUUUGCACAUUUUGAUGAUGGGAAUUGCGGUUCAAGUAAUUAUGAGUUAUAGAUAGAUGGAGCCCACUGUUUACUUCAAACUGAAACCUUUUGGGUCCACUUUUUUCGUUCUUAUUUCCUGGCAGCCACUCUUGUUUCAAGCAGAAUGGGUGUAAAGUUAAAAAUAAUCCCGUAAAAUUGUUAAUAUAACUCCUUUGCACUGGCAUGGCAUGUAUUUGAAAACUUACGUUUAACAAAUACGUCACAAAGUCUCAGCCAUCGUCGAAAAAUAUAAGGGCUUUAUAACAAGAAGCGCUUUCUGAUUUUACUGUGGACGUGUGGAAGAAUAGUGUGAAAUAUUGCGAAAAACCAACUUUUACUCUUGUGUACAUUUUUGUACGUCUCUAUCUGAGAGUUAGUCGUCUUGUAUAAAAAAUAUAGCCUACUAAUAAAGGAAAUUAAAGUGUU